GCCAGCAGCUAUAUCACCCUGCAACUCACAAUUGGCAACCCGCUGGUGUGAGCCUGGUCAGUACCUGGAUGGGAGACCUCCUGGGAAAAACUACGGUUGCUGCUGGAA
rnacentral:rRNA from 1 species